UGAUCGUCGUCGGAUUUGAAAGUAACGGCUCCUCUCAUCAAAGCUUCAGCUGUUUGUUCGGCUCUCCGUUACAAGAAGAACCACUGCAUUUCUAAAAUCAUCUGAACAUUUCAGAGGCUACAUUGAAUUACAGGAGGAAGUUACCGGCACCACACUACAAUGUAACUGAAUGAUGACUGUGGUUGCAUUACGCCUGAGAUCUGCUUUUGGGUUCCACAGACAGAAAGUCAAACAGGUUCGGAAUGUCACAAGGAAAUUAUUUUCAGUUCACAACUAUCACUUUAAUAACACUGCUGACAGUAAUUUUGGUUCUUUGCAGGCACCUCGGUAAGCUGAAAUACAAGUUUGAACAAGAAAAAUAAUUCUCCUGUAGACCUGAAAAUCAUAGAAGUGCCUGGACCAUCCACCAGUAAAGAGGAAAAACAAACGGAAAAUUGUACUGUUCUAACUCGUUAACCUCACAUGUCCCUUGUUAAGAUUUUAUUAAUGAUUGCAUUUUAUGUUUCAGCAAGUA